AGAGGAAGUAAAAGUCGUAACAAGGUUUCCGUAGGUGAACCUGCGGAAGGAUCAUUAACGAGUUCUGAAAGGGGUUGUAGCUGGCCUUCCGGGGCAUGUGCACACCCUGCUCAUCCACUCUACACCUGUGCACUUACUGUAGGUUUGGCGUGGGCUUCGGGGCCUCCGGGCUCUGAGGCAUUCUGCCGGCCUAUGUAUCACUACAAACACAUAAAGUAACAGAAUGUAUUCGCGUCUAACGCAUCUAAAUACAACUUUCAGCAACGGAUCUCUUGGCUCUCGCAUCGAUGAAGAACGCAGCGAAAUGCGAUAAGUAAUGUGAAUUGCAGAAUUCAGUGAAUCAUCGAAUCUUUGAACGCACCUUGCGCUCCUUGGUAUUCCGAGGAGCAUGCCUGUUUGAGUGUCAUGGAAUUCUCAACCCACACGUCCUUGUGAUGUUGCGGGCUUGGAUUUGGAGGCUUGCUGGCCCUCUGCGGUCGGCUCCUCUUGAAUGCAUUAGCUUGAUUCCGUGCGGAUCGGCUCUCAGUGUGAUAAUUGUCUACGCUGUGACCGUGAAGCGUUUGGCGAGCUUCUAACCGUCCUGUAUGGGACAACUUCUUGACAUCUGACCUCAAAUCAGGUAGGACUACCCGCUGAACUUAAGCAUAUC
rnacentral:rRNA from 1 species